rnacentral:rRNA from 1 species
UACGUAGGGGGCGAGCGUUGUCCGGAUUUACUGGGUGUAAAGGGUGCGUAGGCGGGCUAGUGAGUCAGUGGUUAAAAACCGUUGCUUAACAACGGGGGUGCCAUUGAUACUAUUAGUCUAGAGUUCGGUAGGGAGAGCUGGAAUUCCUGGUGUAGUGGUGAAAUACGCAGAUAUCAGGAGGAAUACCGGAGGCGAAGGCGAGCUCUUGGGCCGCUACUGACGCUGAGGCACGAAAGCGUGGGGAUCAAACAGG